CAAUAGCGUAUAUUAAAGUUGUUGCGGUUAAAAAGCUCGUAGUUGGAUUUCUGCUGAGGACGACCGGUCCGCCCUUCGGGUGAGUAUCUGGUUUGGCCUUGGCAUCUUCUUGGUGAACGUAUCUGCACUUGACUGUGUGGUGCGGUACCCAGGACUUUUACUUUGAGGAAAUUAGAGUGUUUCAAGCAGGCAUACGCCUUGAAUACAUUAGCAUGGAAUAAUAAGAUAGGACCUCGGUUCUAUUUUGUUGGUUUCUAGAGCUGAGGUAAUGAUUAAUAGGGAUAGUUGGGGGCAUUCGUAUUUAACUGUCUGAGGUGAAAUUCUUGGAUUUGUUAAAGACGGACUACUGCGAAAGCAUUUGCCAAGGAUGUUUUCAUUGA
rnacentral:rRNA from 1 species